AGAAUUCAGCUCAAUUUAACAUGGUCAGGAUGUUGAGGUGUCUCUCAGUCUGCAGGCUGUGGACUAGAAUCCUGCAAGAUUCAAGACUCAAGGGGGUGGUUAUAUGCUGUAACCCUUCCCUCCCCCUGUCUCUCUGGGCCCGGUGGCGAAGUGAGGAGUAGAGACCAGAGAGAGGUCAAAAGGCAAAUCAUUAAAAAAAGGUCAACCCCAAAUAAAUGAAUACAUCAUCAUCCUGAGAGAGGUCAACAUGGACGAGGUCAACAUGGACCACACCUCGUCACCCUGGUAGAGAUCAACAUUGACCACACCGCUUCACCCUAGUGGAGGUCAACAUGGACCACACCUCUUCA